rnacentral:rRNA from 1 species
UCAAGUGAAGAAGCGCAUACGGUGGAUGCCUUGGCAGUCAGAGGCGAUGAAAGACGUGGUAGCCUGCGAUAAGCUUCGGGGAGUCGGCAAACAGACUUUGAUCCGGAGAUCUCUGAAUGGGGAACCCACCUAGGAUAACCUAGGUAUCUUGUACUGAAUCCAUAGGUGCAAGAGGCGAACCAGGGGAACUGAAACAUCUAAGUACCCUGAGGAAAAGAAAUCAACCGAGAUUCCCUUAGUAGUGGCGAGCGAACGGGGAUUAGCCCUUAAGCUUCAUUGAUUUUAGCGGAACGCUCUGGAAAGUGCGGCCAUAGUGGGUGAUAGCCCCGUACGCGAAAGGAUCUUUGAAGUGAAAUCGAGUAGGACGGAGCACGAGAAACUUUGUCUGAACAUGGGGGGACCAUCCUCCAAGGCUAAAUACUACUGACUGACCGAUAGUGAACCAGUACCGUGAGGGAAAGGCGAAAAGAACCCCGGAGAGGGGAGUGAAAUAGAACCUGAAACCGUAUGCGUACAAGCAGUGGGAGCCUACUUGUUAGGUGACUGCGUACCUUUUGUAUAAUGGGUCAGCGACUUAUAUUCAGUGGCGAGCUUAACCGAAUAGGGUAGGCGUAGCGAAAGCGAGUCUUAAUAGGGCGUUUAGUCGCUGGGUAUAGACCCGAAACCGGGCGAUCUAUCCAUGAGCAGGUUGAAGGUUAGGUAACACUGACUGGAGGACCGAACCCACUCCCGUUGAAAAGGUAGGGGAUGACUUGUGGAUCGGAGUGAAAGGCUAAUCAAGCUCGGAGAUAGCUGGUUCUCCUCGAAAGCUAUUUAGGUAGCGCCUCAUGUAUCACUCUGGGGGGUAGAGCACUGUUUCGGCUAGGGGGUCAUCCCGACUUACCAAACCGAUGCAAACUCCGAAUACCCAGAAGUGCCGAGCAUGGGAGACACACGGCGGGUGCUAACGUCCGUCGUGAAAAGGGAAACAACCCAGACCGCCAGCUAAGGUCCCAAAGUUGUGGUUAAGUGGUAAACGAUGUGGGAAGGCUUAGACAGCUAGGAGGUUGGCUUAGAAGCAGCCAUCCUUUAAAGAAAGCGUAAUAGCUCACUAGUCGAGUCGGCCUGCGCGGAAGAUGUAACGGGGCUCAAACCACACACCGAAGCUGCGGGUGUCACGUAAGUGACGCGGUAGAGGAGCGUUCUGUAAGCCUGUGAAGGUGAGUUGAGAAGCUUGCUGGAGGUAUCAGAAGUGCGAAUGCUGACAUGAGUAACGACAAUGGGUGUGAAAAACACCCACGCCGAAAGACCAAGGGUUCCUGCGCAACGUUAAUCGACGCAGGGUUAGUCGGUUCCUAAGGCGAGGCUGAAAAGCGUAGUCGAUGGGAAACAGGUUAAUAUUCCUGUACUUCUGGUUACUGCGAUGGAGGGACGGAGAAGGCUAGGCCAGCUUGGCGUUGGUUGUCCAAGUUUAAGGUGGUAGGCUGAAAUCUUAGGUAAAUCCGGGGUUUCAAGGCCGAGAGCUGAUGACGAGUCGUCUUUUAGAUGACGAAGUGGUUGAUGCCAUGCUUCCAAGAAAAGCUUCUAAGCUUCAGGUAACCAGGAACCGUACCCCAAACCGACACAGGUGGUCGGGUAGAGAAUACCAAGGCGCUUGAGAGAACUCGGGUGAAGGAACUAGGCAAAAUGGCACCGUAACUUCGGGAGAAGGUGCGCCGGCUAGGGUGAAGGAUUUACUCCGUAAGCUCUGGCUGGUCGAAGAUACCAGGCCGCUGCGACUGUUUAUUAAAAACACAGCACUCUGCAAACACGAAAGUGGACGUAUAGGGUGUGACGCCUGCCCGGUGCCGGAAGGUUAAUUGAUGGGGUUAGCGCAAGCGAAGCUCUUGAUCGAAGCCCCGGUAAACGGCGGCCGUAACUAUAACGGUCCUAAGGUAGCGAAAUUCCUUGUCGGGUAAGUUCCGACCUGCACGAAUGGCGUAACGAUGGCGGCGCUGUCUCCACCCGAGACUCAGUGAAAUUGAAAUCGCUGUGAAGAUGCAGUGUAUCCGCGGCUAGACGGAAAGACCCCGUGAACCUUUACUGUAGCUUUGCACUGGACUUUGAGCCUGCUUGUGUAGGAUAGGUGGGAGGCUUUGAAGCGUGGACGCCAGUUCGCGUGGAGCCAUCCUUGAAAUACCACCCUGGCAUGCUUGAGGUUCUAACUCUGGUCCGUGAUCCGGAUCGAGGACAGUGUAUGGUGGGCAGUUUGACUGGGGCGGUCUCCUCCUAAAGAGUAACGGAGGAGUACGAAGGUGCGCUCAGACCGGUCGGAAAUCGGUCGCAGAGUAUAAAGGCAAAAGCGCGCUUGACUGCGAGACAGACACGUCGAGCAGGUACGAAAGUAGGUCUUAGUGAUCCGGUGGUUCUGUAUGGAAGGGCCAUCGCUCAACGGAUAAAAGGUACUCCGGGGAUAACAGGCUGAUACCGCCCAAGAGUUCAUAUCGACGGCGGUGUUUGGCACCUCGAUGUCGGCUCAUCACAUCCUGGGGCUGAAGCCGGUCCCAAGGGUAUGGCUGUUCGCCAUUUAAAGUGGUACGCGAGCUGGGUUUAGAACGUCGUGAGACAGUUCGGUCCCUAUCUGCCGUGGACGUUUGAGAUUUGAGAGGGGCUGCUCCUAGUACGAGAGGACCGGAGUGGACGAACCUCUGGUGUUCCGGUUGUCACGCCAGUGGCAUUGCCGGGUAGCUAUGUUCGGAAAAGAUAACCGCUGAAAGCAUCUAAGCGGGAAACUUGCCUCAAGAUGAGAUCUCACUGGGAACUUGAUUCCCCUGAAGGGCCGUCGAAGACUACGACGUUGAUAGGCUGGGUGUGUAAGCGUUGUGAGGCGUUGAGCUAACCAGUACUAAUUGCCCGUGAGGCUUGACCAU